UACGUAGGGGGCAAGCGUUGUCCGGAAUCAUUGGGCGUAAAGAGCGUGUAGGCGGCCAGGUAGGUCUGCUGUGAAAACUCGAGGCUUAACCUCGAGCUGUCGGCGGAAACCAUCUGGCUAGAGUCCGGAAGAGGAGAAUGGAAUUCCCGGUGUAGCGGUGAAAUGCGCAGAUAUCGGGAAGAACACCCGUGGCGAAGGCGGUUCUCUGGGACGGUAACUGACGCUGAGACGCGAAAGCGUGGGGAGCGAACGG
rnacentral:rRNA from 1 species